rnacentral:rRNA from 1 species
UGGGCCUACGGGGGGCAGCAGUGAGGAAUAUUGGUCAAUGGGCGGGAGCCUGAACCAGCCAAGCCGCGUGAGGGAAGAAGGUACAGCGUAUCGUAAACCUCUUUUGUCAGGGAACAAAGGCGGGGACUAGUCCCCGGAUGAGGGUACCUGAAGAAAAAGCAUCGGCUAACUCCGUGCCAGCAGCCGCGGUAAUACGGAGGAUGCGAGCGUUAUCCGGAUUUAUUGGGUUUAAAGGGUGCGCAGGCGGCCUGCUAAGUCUGGAGUGAAAGGUACCGGCUCAACCGGUACAGGCUCUGGAAACUGGG